rnacentral:rRNA from 1 species
AUUCCUACGGGAGGCAGCAGUGGGGAAUAUUGCACAAUGGGCGCAAGCCUGAUGCAGCGACGCCGCGUGAGGGAUGACGGCCUUCGGGUUGUAAACCUCUUUCAGCAGGGAAGAAGCGAGAGUGACGGUACCUGCAGAAGAAGCGCCGGCUAACUACGUGCCAGCAGCCGCGGUAAUACGUAGGGCGCAAGCGUUGUCCGGAAUUAUUGGGCGUAAAGAGCUCGUAGGCGGUUUGUCGCGUCUGCUGUGAAAGCCCGGGGCUUAACUCCGGGUGUGCAGUGGGUACGGGCAGACUAGAGUGCAGUAGGGGAGACUGGAAUUCCUGGUGUAGCGGUGGAAUGCGCAGAUAUCAGGAGGAACACCGAUGGCGAAGGCAGGUCUCUGGGCUGUUACUGACGCUGAGGAGCGAAAGCAUGGGGAGCGAACAGGAUUAGAUACCCUGGUAGUCCAUGCCGUAAACGUUGGGCACUAGGUGUGGGGGACAUUCCACGUUUUCCGCGCCGUAGCUAACGCAUUAAGUGCCCCGCCUGGGGAGUACGGCCGCAAGGCUAAAACUCAAAUGAAUUGACGGAAU